rnacentral:misc_RNA from 1 species
GAUCGCUAUGCUGGUGACAGGUACUUGAAGUUUUGUUAAGAUGUUUAUGUUAUUGUGUGAAUCAUAUUUUAAUUUGGGGGAAAAUGCAAAAAAGUAUCUUGAGGUUUUUUACUUUGACUUGUAGGGGGCUUGUGUUUCAAUUUUUGACGAAAUGAUAUCCUGAGUUUCACUCUGUUAGCACCAAUGUUUUAACACUAUUAGUCAUGUUGAUGUGGCAAUGUGCAAUCAAUAAAAUAAAUCUACUUUUUUAUUUUCAUUGAAGAUUGUUAAUUCAAUUUUUUUUUUAAUUUUCAAUUAUUUUUGGGAUCCUAGAUAUUUUUAUAAAAAUAUUAUUUUAUUUGAAUCACACUGUUAUGUCAGCAUAACUAACGGUUGUAGAGCCCUUAAAGCGCUAUCAAAGUAAAGUUUUAGAUAUCAUUUUGUCAAAAAUUUGAACCAUGUGCCCCUAAAUUGUCAAAGCACAAAAGCUCAAUGUACUUCUUUUUAUAGUUUUCUCUUUAUUUUAUUCAUGUUGAGAAUUUUAUUUUAAUUUUAAUCACAGUAGUAGUAUUCUGUUUUUAUGUUUUCAAGCUUUGCCCCUUUCAGUAGUAACAGUUAGCUAAAUAUUGAGCAGUUGUUAUUGUUAAGUCAUUGAAUGACAAUUGAAUUGUGUUUCACUAUUCAUCAGUGCUUUGGUGCUUAAUUUGUAAACAUUGC